GGCCUAUUUACAUGCCUCUUAAAGUUGCAGCUUAACCGCUUGGUGGCUAAAGAUUUUAAGAAUAACUGCGUAUCCGAUGGGGAACAACAUUCAUUCUAUUUUGGGUGACUUUCAGCGUCACUGUUUGCGAUAGAAAGAGCCUUUCGUACAUCACGUUAUGUUGGGCCGGGUUUAUUUGUCGGCG
rnacentral:lncRNA from 1 species